GGAGGAGAAGAAGAAGAAGAAGAAGAAAAGGAAGAAAAGGAAGAAGAAAAGAAGAGAGAGAGUAAAGAAAGCCAGUGAGGGUUGCAGGCAGUUAUCUGGGAACACAGGAAACGGGCUCCAGAGAAUCUCAGCACCCAGUGCCUUGCCCUGAAGCUGGCUUCUUCCCACUCCUGACCCUCACUGGGCCUACCCACAUCUGUAACAUCUGUAACUUGGGGUACUGCAAGGCCAUAGAGCAGAGGGAGGGAGGUUCCUUACCAGAUGCCUUUGCUGGAUGACUUGCACAGACUGUCACUUACAAGCUCACUGAAUUUCUCCCUUAUCUGCCAAGAAAUGUCUACUUUUAAGGUAUUCUUUCAUUUCCUCAUGCCAAUGGCUGUCAAACGACUUAAUAACUUGCCCAUCAUGGAAGUCAAAUAUAGUUUAUUAAAAAUGCAUGUCUCACUCAAUAAGAUGCCCUUUGGCAGUCUUCAGACCUUGACGACUCUGUCUCAAAUCUUGAACGCAUGGAAUUGUCUUGGCUGGCCAGCAGUGCCGCCUCACUUCAUGUCAUACUUGCUGCCCAGAUUAUGCUGCAGUGAGACUGAAAAUGGCGGUGGGAGCUGUCCAAGGAGAAAUGGAAUCAGGCCAUGUGUCCAAUUUAAGGAAGUGGGGCCUGGGCCUGAGAACCCCAAGUUCCUGUGGACUUCCAAGUCAUACAGCCAGGAUCCAGGUAAGGAAUACAUGAACGAGGAUAGAUCUAGUACCCUGGGGAAAGGGAGGAAGGAGGCCUCUGAAAAAGAAAUGACAUGGAGGCAGGAGUGGGUUGUGUCAAGUCACUGCACUGAAAUGAUGAAUCAUGCCUGUGAUGGCUCACAUAGCAAGCCUCCAUCGCUGUUUACAGGGGCUAAUGAGGCAUCUGCAGUUACAAAUUCAAGGAGACUGAAUGUUGCUGUGGCUGAGGUGGAAACAAGAAGUCUGAACUGAAAAAAAAAAAAACAAGAGAAACUGGAGGUUGCCUUUUCUAUUAUCUGCCACAAAGAAAAAUUGGACCGAAACCAUUUCUUUGGGAUGUUGAACCUUUUCCCAAACCAUCUUCGAGCAACUCCACAACCUCCCUAGGUACUUCUCCUAGCUGUUCUUGGAUCCCUUAGCCGGAUCCCUAUGACUUCUGUUUCAUUUUUCAUUAUUUUUCACUGCGUGGUGAAGAUGGAAAACAGGCCUCUAUGCCUACCCUAACACCAUCCCUGCAUCUACC
rnacentral:lncRNA from 1 species